GGAUCAUUACAAGACGAACGAAGAGUUGCAAGACUCGACAACCAUCGCGAACGUUACCUCGUCGUUGCUUCGGCGGGCGGCCCCCCGGCCCUGGUGCCGGGGGCGCCCCUGGGCCCGCCUGCCGGGCGCCCGCCGGAGGACCACAACACCUCUGUUUUCUCCGUGCCGCCUCUGAGUCGACUAGACAAAUCAGUUAAAACUUUCAACAACGGAUCUCUUGGUUCUGGCAUCGAUGAAGAACGCAGCGAAAUGCGAUAAGUAAUGUGAAUUGCAGAAUUCAGUGAAUCAUCGAAUCUUUGAACGCACAUUGCGCCCGCCGGUAUUCCGGCGGGCAUGCCUGUCCGAGCGUCAUUUCGACCCCUCGAGCGCCCCCGCGCGCGCUCGGUGUUGGGGCCCUACGUGCGCCGUAGGCCCCGAAUUCCAGUGGCGGGCUCGCCGUGUUCCCGAGCGUAGUAGUGCUACCUCGCUCCGGGGCGCGCGGCGGGUGCCGGCCGUGAAACCUCGAAACAACGAAACCCCCAAGGUUGACCUCGGAUCAGGUAGGAAUACCCGCUGAACUUAAGCAUAUCAAUAAGCGGAGGAAAAGAAACCAACAGGGAUUGCCCCAGUAACGGCGAGUGAAGCGGCAACAGCUCAAAUUUGAAAUCUGGCUCCGGCCCGAGUUGUAAUUUGCAGAGGAUGCUUUGGGCGCGGCGCCUCCCGAGUCCCCUGGAACGGGGCGCCACAGAGGGUGAGAGCCCCGUAUGGUAGGACGCCUAGCCUGUGUAAAGCUCCUUCGACGAGUCGAGUAGUUUGGGAAUGCUGCUCUAAAUGGGAGGUAAAUUCCUUCUAAAGCUAAAUACCGGCCAGAGACCGAUAGCGUACAAGUAGAGUGAUCGAAAGAUGAAAAGCACUUUGAAAAGAGGGUCAAACAGCACGUGAAAUUGUUGAAAGGGAAGCGCUUGUGACCAGACGUGCGCUGGGUCGAUCAUCCGGUGUUCUCACCGGUGCACUCGGCCCGGCGCAGGCCAGCAUCGGUUCUCGUGGGGGGAGAAAAACCCGGGGAACGUGGCGCCUCCGGGCGUGUUAUAGCCCCGGGCGCAAUACCCUCGCGGGGACCGAGGCCCGCGC
rnacentral:rRNA from 1 species